rnacentral:rRNA from 1 species
GAUGAACGCUGGCGGCGUGCCUAAUACAUGCAAGUCGAGCGAACGGACGAGAAGCUUGCUUCUCUGAUGUUAGCGGCGGACGGGUGAGUAACACGUGGAUAACCUACCUAUAAGACUGGGUUAACUUCGGGAAACCGGAGCUAAUACCGGAUAAUAUUUUGAACCGCAUGGUUCAAAAGUGAAAGACGGUCUUGCUGUCACUUAUAGAUGGAUCCGCGCUGCAUUAGCUAGUUGGUAAGGUAACGGCUUACCAAGGCAACGAUGCAUAGCCGACCUGAGAGGGUGAUCGGCCACACUGGAACUGAGACACGGUCCAGACUCCUACGGGAGGCAGCAGUAGGGAAUCUUCCGCAAUGGGCGAAAGCCUGACGGAGCAACGCCGCGUGAGUGAUGAAGGUCUUCGGAUCGUAAAACUCUGUUAUUAGGGAAGAACAUAUGUGUAAGUAACUGUGCACAUCUUGACGGUACCUAAUCAGAAAGCCACGGCUAACUACGUG